rnacentral:rRNA from 1 species
GACAGAGGUGCCGAGCGUUUAGGCGGAAUCACUGGGCUUAAAGCGUGUGUAGGCGGCGGCGUAAGUACCUUGUGAAAUCCCACGGCUCAACCGUGGAACUGCUCGGUAUACUGCGUCGCUUGAGCCAGCUAGGGGCGACCGGAACAAACGGUGGAGCGGUGAAAUGCGUAGAGAUCGGAAAGAACACCAACGGCGAAAGCACUCUGCUGGGCCGACACUGACACUGAGAGACGAAAGCUAGGGGAGCGAAUGGG